rnacentral:rRNA from 1 species
ACUUCGGUGUUGCUGGCGACCGGCGAACGGGUGCGUAACACGUAUGUAAUCUACCUUAUACUAGGGCAUAGCUCUCGGAAACGAGAAUUAAUACCCUAUAUUAUCUCAUUAGCGCAUGCUUAUGAGAUGAAAGCUCCGGCGGUAUAAGAUGAGCAUGCGCCCCAUUAGCUAGUUGGUGAGGUAAAAGCUCACCAAGGCAACGAUGGGUAGGGGUUCUGAGAGGAAGAUCCCCCACACUGGCACUGAGACACGGGCCAGACUCCUACGGGAGGCAGCAGUAGGGAAUAUUGGUCAAUGGGCGCAAGCCUGAACCAGCCAUGCCGCGUGCAGGAUGAAGGCCCUCUGGGUCGUAAACUGCUUUUAUAUGGGAAUAAAAAAGUCCUUGCGAGGACUCUUGAAGGUACCAUAAGAAUAAGCACCGGCUAACUCCGUGCCAGCAGCCGCGGUAAUACGGAGGGUGCAAGCGUUAUCCGGAUUUACUGGGUUUAAAGGGUGCGUAGGCGGCUUCUUAAGUCAGUGGUGAAAUCCUAGUGCUUAACACUAGAACGGCCGCUGAUACUGGGAAGCUUGAGUCAAGGAGAGGUAAGCAGAAUUUAUGGUGUAGCAGUGAAAUGCUUAGAUACCAUAAGGAAUACCAAUAGCGAAGGCAGCUUACUGGCCUUGUACUGACGCUGA